GAUGAACGCUGGCGGCGUGCCUAAUACAUGCCAGUCGAGCGAACAGACGAGGAGCUUGCUCCUCUGACGUUAGCGGCGGACGGGUGAGUAACACGUGGAUAACCUACCUAUAAGACUGGGAUAACUUCGGGAAACCGGAGCUAAUACCGGAUAAUAUAUUGAACCGCAUGGUUCAAUAGUGAAAGACGGUUUUGCUGUCACUUAUAGAUGGAUCCGCGCCGCAUUAGCUAGUUGGUAAGGUAACGGCUUACCAAGGCAACGAUGCGUAGCCGACCUGAGAGGGUGAUCGGCCACACUGGAACUGAGACACGGUCCAGACUCCUACGGGAGGCAGCAGUAGGGAAUCUUCCGCAAUGGGCGAAAGCUUGACGGAGCAACGCCGCGUGAGUGAUGAAGGUCUUCGGAUCGUAAAACUCUGUUAUUAGGGAAGAACAAAUGUGUAAGUAACUAUGCACGUCUUGACGGUACCUAAGCAAAAAGCCACGGCUAACUACGU
rnacentral:rRNA from 1 species